AACAGUUAUAUUCAGUAAGAAUCAUAUCAACUAAUUCAUAAAGUAACUAUAACCUCCCCCUACUUGCAAAAUUACACGAACAUUACUAAUAUUUUAGCUGGAAAUCACGAGAUUCGACUUACGCGGAAAUUCGAGAUACGCGGUAUUUUGCGGCCGUUUUCGGUCCCCAUUAACCGUGUAUCUCGGGGACCGCCUGUAUAUAUGAUACAAUUAGAACUCGCUAAUUGCAUUUAUAUCAUAUGUCUACAAAAAAUUAGAUUUUGUUUAUUAAAAAGACAUUUUUUAUGCAACACGACUAAUGUCUGCGUAUUUUUUCAUGUUUAUUAUUUUAUACAAUGUGGAUUAACUGACUUUUUCUCAUAUUUAUAUGAACAACUCGGAUUUUUUGUAUUCAAUUGAAAAAGCAGUCUUGCAAUUGGCGAGGUUUGAAUGUAUUUCACUUCGUUACAUGACAGCUCGCAUAUUUGUCAAGUUAGAACCGUAAACAAACACGGGCAACCGCCCGUAAAGAUUGUGAGCAGAAUAAUCGUGAAAUUUUAUGUGAAAACUCGGGAAAAGGAAAAACAUAAUUUCAUCCCGAAAUUUGGCAACAUUCGUCCGAGUAUGGUUGAGCAGCUGUGUGUGUGUGUGUGUGUAUGCAGACGGAAUACGACGCCGUUUCUACAUCAAUCACUAAAGCCGGCUGUGAUCGUGAUCGGCACAUUCUCAACUGGACCAACACACCGGUCGUUGUGUAUCUUCAAGCAAACUAACGUUGCCAUACACCACAAAAUAGCAUGGAAAGGA